UCGCCCUUUGUACACACCGCCCGUCGCUACUACCGAUUGAAUGGCUCAGUGAGGCGUUCGGACUGGCUCGGGGAGGUUGGCAACGACCACCCCAAGCCGGAAAGUUCGUCAAACUCGGUCAUUUAGAGGAAGUAAAAGUCGUAACAAGGUCUCCGUAGGUGAACCUGCGGAGGGAUCAUUACACAAUACAAUAUGAAGGCCCGUAACACGGCUGGAUUAUUUUAUUACCCUUGUCUUUUGCGCACUUGCGUUUCCUGGGCGGGUUUCGCCCGCCACCAGGACCACACCAUAAACCUUUUUUAUGCAGUUGCAAUCAGCGUCAGUACAACAAAUGUAAAUCAUUUACAACUUUCAACAACGGAUCUCUUGGUUCUGGCAUCGAUGAAGAACGCAGCGAAAUGCGAUACGUAGUGUGAAUUGCAGAAUUCAGUGAAUCAUCGAAUCUUUGAACGCACAUUGCGCCCUUUGGUAUUCCAAAGGGCAUGCCUGUUCGAGCGUCAUUUGUACCCUCAAGCUUUGCUUGGUGUUGGGCGUUUUUUUGUCUUUGGUUAUGCCAAAGACUCGCCUUAAAACGAUUGGCAGCCGGCCUCCUGGUUUCGCAGCGCAGCACAUUUUUGCGCUUGCAAUCAGCAAUAUAGGGCGGCACUCCAUCAAGACACUUUUUUUCACGUUUGACCUCGGAUCAGGUAGGGAUACCCGCUGAACUUAAGCAUAUCAAUAAGCGGAGGAAAAGAAACCAACAGGGAUUGCCCUAGUAACGGCGAGUGAAGCGGCAACAGCUCAAAUUUGAAAUCUGGCUCUUUUAGAGUCCGAGUUGUAAUUUGCAGAGGGCGCUUUGGCUUUGGCAGCGGUCCAAGUUCCUUGGAACAGGACGUCACAGAGGGUGAGAAUCCCGUACGUGGUCGCUAGCUAUUGCCGUG
rnacentral:rRNA from 1 species